CACACGGUAAACGAUGAAUACUCGCUGUUUGCGAUAUACGGCAAGCGGCCAAGCGAAAGCGUUAAGUAUUCCACCUGGGGAGUACGCCGGCAACGGUGAAACUCAAAGGAAUUGACGGGGGCCCGCACAAGCGGAGGAACAUGUGGUUUAAUUCGAUGAUACGCAAGGAACCUUACCCGGGCUUAAAUUGCAGAUGAAUUACGGUGAAAGCCGUAAGCCGCAAGGCAUCUGUGAAGGUGCUGCAUGGUUGUCGUCAGCUCGUGCCGUGAGGUGUCGGCUUAAGUGCCAUAACGAGCGCAACCCUUAUCUUUAGUUACUAACAGGUCAUGCUGAGGACUCUAGAGAGACUGCCGUCGUAAGAUGUGAGGAAGGUGGGGAUGACGUCAAAUCAGCACGGCCCUUACGUCCGGGGCUACACACGUGUUACAAUGGGGGGUACAGAAGGCAGCUACCUGGUGACAGGAUGCUAAUCCCAAAAGCCUCUCUCAGUUCGGAUCGAAGUCUGCAACCCGACUUCGUGAAGCUGGAUUCGCUAGUAAUCGCGCAUCAGCCAUGGCGCGGUGAAUACGUUCCCGGGCCUUGUACACACCGCCCGUCAAGCCAUGAAAGCCGGGGGUACCUGAAGUACGUAACCGCAAGGAGCGUCCUAGGGUAAAACUGGUAAUU
rnacentral:rRNA from 1 species